UACAUUUAGUAAACAUAAUUGUGGCUUUUUACAUCCUCUUUAUCACAAUUUUUCAGAUUUUCUUGGAUUUGAUGACUUUAACAGUUUAAGGAGUACUUGUACUUUGCAGCAUCCCUAUGUGGAGGCAAAAUGGAGUGUCCUUCCUGUUGGUGGAUAAAGGACAGAGUUUGGAAUCAGAGAGACUUGCUUUAACUUAGCUACUUUCUUCUGCCUGAUCCUUGGGAAAAAAUCCUCUUUGGAGCACUUCAUCUAUAAAAUGGGCAUCAUAAAACAAAUCUUGUAGGCUCAGAAGUAACAAAGAGAUGAGACCAUGGAUUGAAAUCUCUGAAACUCUGAGCCAAAAUAAAUCUCUCUCCUUCAAGUUGUUACUCUCAGAUACUUUGUCACAGUGAGGCAAAGCUAACUGAUACACAGUGUAAAGUAUAGCAGGUCCUCAAACAGCCAAAAAUGGAACUACCAUAUAAUCCAGCUAUUCUACUCUUUGAGUUAAGCCUCUAAUUAUAUGUUGAGCUGAUUUAUUGGUACUACAGGCUUAAACAUUUCCUAACUAUUAAGACUGACUAGAGACACAGGAUAACUGUCCACAUGCAAGGGAUCUGAAUGGCAAAAACACCGCAGAGGAAGAGGUGAUACCUGGUGGAUGAGUCACAAGGAACGGCUCCGAGAAAGAUAGCAUUACCCUCAUAUGGGGGACACUACAGGAUGUCCUAUAUCACAGAAAACCUACUACACAUAAGAGAAGAAAUUGAAAAUGCAUGUGCAGCAAUGUCAACGACCAAGGUUACCCAGGCAGCAGCUCACCAUACUAAUAAACUUCUGGAAGCCAGUGGCCACCACUUCGAGCACCUCUUGUAAUUGUAGAGGCCAAAGAUAACAUAUUAACCUCAGGAUAUUGCAAUAAAUUCAGUAUUGCAAUAUUUAUGCAAGU